rnacentral:rRNA from 1 species
AUUGAACGCUGGCGGCAUGCCUUACACAUGCAAGUCGAACGGUAACAGGUUAAGCUGACGAGUGGCGAACGGGUGAGUAAUAUAUCGGAACGUGCCCAGUCGUGGGGGAUAACGUAGCGAAAGCUACGCUAAUACCGCAUACGAUCUACGGAUGAAAGCGGGGGAUCGCAAGACCUCGCGCGAUUGGAGCGGCCGAUAUCAGAUUAGGUUGUUGGUGAGGUAAAAGCUCACCAAGCCUGCGAUCUGUAGCUGGUCUGAGAAGACGACCAGCCACACUGGAACUGAGACACGGUCCAGCCUCCUACGGGAGGCAGCAGUGGGGAAUUUUGGACAAUGGACGCAAGUCUGAUCCAGCAAUGCCGCGUGCAGGACGAAGGCCUCCGGGUUGUAAACUGCUUUUGUACGGAACGAAACGGUGAGCUCUAAUACAGUUUGCUAAUGACGGUACCGUAAGAAUAAGCACCGGCUAACUACGUGCCAGCCGCCGCAGUAA